CGACCAAUCAGUGAUACUCAAAGUUCACCUGAUCAUGUGACACUUUCCUGUGCAAAAUGGCGAAGAAGUGGUCCCAGGCCAGGGGCCUGUCCCAAUCUACCGAGUACUGUCAUCGGCGCAGCUGUACUUUCCGCCUUGGUCAAAACCAGCUGAUGUCGCCACAUCAUCAAAAUAUAUGCUCUGUUUUGUAUUAAGUUGAAUAAUAUUGCAUGCAGUUGAUUGUAUUUGCAAUCUAGAAAAGAUGGACUUUGUUAUGCCUGAAGGAGAACUGAACAAUUUAUGUUUUUGACACUUUAUUUAUUGUGAAAUGUGAUAAGCACUUAUUGUAUGUGUGUUUAUGCUUUUCAAAGAUAAAAAUAGCAUAAAGCACAUCAUGUCUCUCAUCUAGUAAA